UACAGAGGUCUCAAGCGUUGUUCGGAUUCAUUGGGCGUAAAGGGUGAGUAGGCGGCGCGGUAAGUCGGGUGUGAAAUCUCGGAGCUUAACUCCGAAACUGCAUUCGAUACUGCCGUGCUUGAGGACUGGAGAGGAGACUGGAAUUUACGGUGUAGCGGUGAAAUGCGUAGAUAUCGUAAGGAAGACCAGUGGCGAAGGCGGGUCUCUGGACAGUUCCUGACGCUGAGGCACGAAGGUCAGGGGAGCAAACGGG
rnacentral:rRNA from 1 species